UACGUAGGGUGCAAGCGUUGUCCGGAAUUAUUGGGCGUAAAGAGCUCGUAGGCGGUCUGUCGCGUCUGUUGUGAAAACUCGAGGCUCAACCUCGGGCUUGCAGUGGAUACGGGCAGACUAGAGUGCGGUAGGGGAGACUGGAAUUCCUGGUGUAGCGGUGGAAUGCGCAGAUAUCAGGAGGAACACCGAGUGGCGAAGGCAGGUCUCUGGGCCGCAACUGACGCUGAGGAGCGAAAGCAUGGGGAGCGAACAGG
rnacentral:rRNA from 1 species